rnacentral:rRNA from 1 species
GUAGGUGGCAAGCGUUGUCCGGAAUUAUUGGGCGUAAAGCGUGCGCAGGCGGUUCUUUAAGUCUGAUGUGAAAGCCCACGGGCUCAACCGUGGAGGGUCAUUGGAAACUGGAGAACUUGAGUACAGAAGGGGAAAGCGGAAUUCCACGUGUAGCGGUGAAAUGCGUAGAGAUGUGGAGGAACACCAGUGGCGAAGGCGGCUUUCUGGUCUGUAACUGACGCUGAGGCGCGAAAGCGUGGGGAGCAAACAGGAUUAGAUACCCUGGUAGUCCACGCCGUAAACGAUGAGUGCUAAGUGUUAGGGGGUUUCCGCCCCUUAGUGCUGCAGCUAACGCAUUAAGCACUCCGCCUGGGGAGUACGGCCGCAAAGGCUG